GACAGCUUCACACUCAGCACAUCUGUCUGCUGCUUUCAGUGGAUAUUUGCUCCUAUUGCAGGAAGCAGGUUUAACAGACUAAACUGUGAGUCGAGGAAGAAAGAAAUCAUCAAUGGAGCUCUGAUACAGGGUUGACCAUGACAACGGGUAAACAAAGAGCAGAGCCUCCAUCUUAUGAAUUUAUGGAUUUGAUCAACUGGUCCCUGAAUGCAACUGACACCCUCUUCUCGACGAGAAGCCUGGGUUCGGGAGAGCCCGUGUGUCCUGGAGCGAUGUUCCCUGCCAGAUACACAAUGGAUGGGUGGAAGGGCUGGAGGGCCGUGUGUCUAGCGGGACUGUCGAUCGAGGACAUUGAAGACAUCAACCUUUUUGGAACCAAGAUAACAGGGUUCUUGCUGCUCGGCGCUGGCUUGGCCCAGGCUAAUUGAAGAACAAACCUGGGCCCCGCAAGACGGACCGGACUGUCGACCGCAAUGUGCUGGCCCACCUGGCUAGAUCAACUAAGCCUACUGUCAGACGUUGUAACUCCACUAUCAACUUUGGUCUAUUAAACAUCCGCACUAUCACUGGUGAGGGACAUCUCGUCCAGGAUCUUCUCUCCGAUCGGAAGUUGGAUUUUCUUCGCUUGACUGAAACGUGGCACCAGCCCAAUGAUUUUGUUUUUUUGUGACUCCAAAUCUGAUAAGUGUUGGUGAUUCAAUAUCCAUAUGGACAAUUGUUAGAUUUGUAUUGUUGAUUGUCAUUUAUGCUUAGAAACAUUUACCCACAUAUGCUUAGAAGUGUAUAAUCAUUUGUAGAUUGAAAGAAUGUCUCAUCCUAGGAGGUCUGUAACAGCUCUGUGUAGCAUGAAGGGGGAGUGCGUUCACUCCUCUACAGAGUGUUCCGGCGUAGAUCACACCUCCUAGGAGAGGUCGUAUCUUUUCUUAUUGAUUUAUGGUAUAGCAAGCACACGUAUAUCUGUUUAAGUAUAAGAGCCUUUUGUUCAGAUGGACCGCUAGACUCCUGGCACCAGCUUUGGGGAGUCUUCACAGGGUCACAUCUGGACAACACACACACACACACACAGUAUUCUUUGUUCACAUGUAUACCUAUGUAAGAUGUCAUAUGUUAAUGACCCUAUGCAUAUUCAUGUAACCACAAUAAAAGGAGUGCUAUGGGGAGCCUGGCUGAGAGUCUGACGGAGGUCAAGUGGUGGAACGACACUCGGCUCCAGCCAGCUUUCCCUCAUGCAUGAGUAAGACCAGCCUGCUUGUGUCUUGCUUUGCAGUGUAACUAUAUUGUCUUCAACGUUCCAGCGGAUAGGUACAAGCUAC
ensembl:lncRNA